rnacentral:rRNA from 1 species
GGGAGUACGGCGCAAGAAAAAAUCAAAAGAAUGACGGGGGCCGCACAAGCGGGGAGCAUGGGUUUAAUUGAUGCAACGGAAGAACCUUACCUACUCUUGACAUCCAGAGAACUUAGCAGAGAUGCUUUGGUGCCUUCGGGAACUCUGAGACAGGUGUUGCAUGGCUGUCGUCAGCUCGUGUUGUGAAAUGUUGGGUUAAGUCCCGCAACGAGCGCAACCCUUAUCCUUGUUUGCCAGCGAGUAAUGUCGGGAACUCCAGGGAGACUGCCGGUGAUAAACCGGAGGAAGGUGGGGACGACGUCAAGUCAUCAUGGCCCUUACGAGUAGGGCUACACACGUGCUACAAUGGCGCAUACAGAGGGCGGCCAACUUGCGAAAGUGAGCGAAUCCCAAAAAGUGCGUCGUAGUCCGGAUUGGAGUCUGCAACUCGACUCCAUGAAGUCGGAAUCGCUAGUAAUCGUGAAUCAGAAUGUCACGGUGAAUACGUUCCCGGGCCUUGUACACACCGCCCGUCACACCAUGGGAGUGGAGUGCAAAAGAAGCUCGAGUAGUAUGUCGUAACAGAGUAACCAUGCUAGAGGUGAUUG